UACGUAGGGUGCAAGCGUUGUCCGGAAUUAUUGGGCGUAAAGAGCUCGUAGGCGGUUUGUCACGUCGGAUGUGAAAUCCCGAGGCUUAACCUCGGGCCUGCACUCGAUACGGGCUGGCUAGAGUUCGGUAGGGGAGAGUGGAAUUCCUGGUGUAGCGGUGAAAUGCGCAGAUAUCAGGAGGAACACCGGUGGCGAAGGCGGGUCUCUGGGCCGGUACUGACGCUGAGACGCGAAAGCGUGGGGAGCAAACGGG
rnacentral:rRNA from 1 species